GAUGAACGCUGGCGGCGUGCCUAGUACAUGCAAGUCGAGCGAACAGAUAAGGAGCUUGCUCCUUUGACGUUAGCGGCGGACGGGUGAGUAACACGUGGGUAACCUACCUAUAAGACUGGAAUAACUCCGGGAAACCGGGGCUAAUGCCGGAUAACAUUUAGAACCGCAUGGUUCAAAAGUGAAAGAUGGUUUUGCUAUCACUUAUAGAUGGACCCGCGCCGUAUUAGCUAGUUGGUAAGGUAACGGCUUACCAAGGCAACGAUACGUAGCCGACCUGAGAGGGUGAUCGGCCACACUGGAACUGAGACACGGUCCAGACUCCUACGGGAGGCAGCAGUAGGGAAUCUUCCGCAAUGGGCGAAAGCCUGACGGAGCAACGCCGCGUGAGUGAUGAAGGUCUUCGGAUCGUAAAACUCUGUUAUUAGGGAAGAACAAAUGUGUAAGUAACUGUGCACGUCUUGACGGUACCUAAUCAGAAAGCCACGGCUAACUACGUG
rnacentral:rRNA from 1 species